rnacentral:pre_miRNA from 1 species
AGUGGAAUUGCUGGGUCAUGUGGUAACUCUAACUUUUUGAGGAACUGCCAAAUUGUUUUCCAAAGCAGCUGCACCUUUUGAAAUUCCCACCAGCAAU